UUUACGGGAGGCAGCAGUGGGGAAUAUUGGACAAUGGGGGAAACCCUGAUCCAGCAAUGCCGCGUGAGUGAAGAAGGCCUUAGGGUUGUAAAACUCUUUCAACUGUGAAGAUGAUGACGGUAGCAGUAGAAGAAGCUCCGGCUAACUCCGUGCCAGCAGCCGCGGUAAU
rnacentral:rRNA from 1 species